rnacentral:rRNA from 1 species
UACGAAGGGGGCUAGCGUUGCUCGGAAUCACUGGGCGUAAAGGGUGCGUAGGCGGGUCUUUAAGUCAGGGGUGAAAUCCUGGAGCUCAACUCCAGAACUGCCUUUGAUACUGAAGAUCUUGAGUUCGGGAGAGGUGAGUGGAACUGCGAGUGUAGAGGUGAAAUUCGUAGAUAUUGGGAGGAACACCAGUGGCGAAGGCGGUUACCUGGAGCUUUGCUGACGCUGAUGCGCGAAAGCGUGGGGAGCGAUCCGG